UACGAAGGGGGCUAGCGUUGUUCGGAAUUACUGGGCGUAAAGCGCGUGUAGGCGGGUCUUUAAGUCAGGGGUGAAAUGCCAAGGCUCAACCUUGGAACUGCCUUUGAUACUGGAGACCUUGAGUCCGGGAGAGGUGAGUGGAAUUCCUGGUGUAGCGGUGAAAUGCGUAGAUAUCAGGAGGAACACCUGUGGCGAAAGCGGCUCACUGGACCAUAACUGACGCUGAUGCACGAAAGCUAGGGGAGCAAACAGG
rnacentral:rRNA from 1 species